AUUGAACGCUGGCGGCAGGCUUAACACAUGCAAGUCGAGCGGAGUGAUGGGGCUUGCACUAUCACUUAGCGGCGGACGGGUGAGUAAUGCUUAGGAAUCUGCCAUUUAGUGGGGGACAACAUUCCGAAAGGAAUGCUAAUACCGCAUACGUCCUACGGGAGAAAGCAGGGGAUCUUCGGACCUUGCGCUAAAUGAUGAGCCUAAGUCGGAUUAGCUAGUUGGUGGGGUAAAGGCCUACCAAGGCGACGAUCUGUAGCGGGUCUGAGAGGAUGAUUCGCCACACUGGGACUGAGACACGGCCCAGACUCCUACGGGAGGCAGCAGUGGGGAAUAUUGGACAAUGGGCGGAAGCCUGAUCCAGCCAUGCCGCGUGUGUGAAGAAGGCCUUUUGGUUGUAAAGCACUUUAAGCGAGGAGGAGGCUCUCCUAGUUAAUACCUAGGAAGAGUGGACGUUACUCGCAGAAUAAGCACCGGCUAACUCUGUGCCAGCCGCCGCCGCUGUA
rnacentral:rRNA from 1 species